rnacentral:rRNA from 1 species
GGGUGCGAUCAUACCAGUGUUAAUGCACCGGAUCCCAUCAGAACUCCGCAGUUAAGCGCGCUUGGGCUAGAGUAGUACUGGGAUGGGUGACCUCCCGGGAAGUCCUAGUGUUGCACCCU